GUCCCCAUCGUCUAGCGGUUAGGACACCGCCCUUUCACGGCGGUAACCGGGGUUCGAGUCCCCGUGGGGACGCCA
rnacentral:tRNA from 1 species